rnacentral:rRNA from 1 species
GGAGGUGGCAAGCGUUACUCGGAAUCAUUGGGUGUAAAGGGCAAGUAGGCGGUCUAUUAAGUGAGGGGUGAAAUCUUCCGACUCAAUCGGGAAAUUGCCUUUCAAACUGAUAGACUUGAGGUAGGAAGGGGGAAACGGAAUUCUCGGUGUAAGGGUGAAAUCUGUAGAUAUCGAGAAGAACACCGGCGGCGAAGGCGGUUUCCUGGUCCUACCCUGACGCUGAAUUGCGAAAGCUAGGGGAGCAAACAGAAUUAGAUACUCUGGUAGUCCUAGCCGUAAAUGAUGAGCACUAGGUGUUGGCCUUUUUGGGGUCAGUGCCGCAGCUAACGCAUUAAGUGCUCCACCUGAGGACUAUGGUCGCAAGGCUA